UACAGAGGUCUCAAGCGUUGUUCGGAUUCAUUGGGCGUAAAGGGUGCGUAGGCGGCGCGGUAAGUCGGGUGUGAAAUUUCGAGGCUUAACCUCGAAACUGCAUUCGAUACUGCGGUGCUUGAGGACUGGAGAGGAGACUGGAAUUCAUGGUGUAGCAGUGAAAUGCGUAGAGAUCAUGAGGAAGACCAGUGGCGAAGGCGGGUCUCUGGACAGUUCCUGACACUGAGACACGAAGGCCAGGGGAGCAAACGGG
rnacentral:rRNA from 1 species